AAUCAACGCUGGCGGCGUGCCUCAGACAUGCAAGUCGAACGCGAAAGUCCCCUUCGGGGGAUGAGUAGAGUGGCGUCCGGGUGAGUAACACGUAGGUAAUCUACCUUUGGGUGGGGAAUAACCCCGAGAAAUCGGGGCUAAUACCGCAUAAUGCAGCGGCACCACAUGGUGACAGUUGUUAAAGCGGGGGAGUCGCAAGACCUCGCGCCUAAAGCGGAGCCUGCGGCGGAUUAGCUAGNGGUAGGGUAACGGCCUACCAAGGCAACGAUCCGUACGCCGGCCUGAGAGGGCGGUCGGCCACACUGACACUAGAAAUACGGGUCAGACUCCUACGGGAGGCAGCA
rnacentral:rRNA from 1 species